CCCGGGAGGAGCGCAGGCAGCAUUCAUGUGAAAACACCGACGCACUGCAGCCGACGCACGAAUGUGUCACAACACGCAGUUUGGAAAGCUCUGAGCUAGAGACAAAACUAUCCUAAGCAUUCUUACUCAGAAGUUAGUCUCACUGUGUUCAACGUAUGUUGGCUUGCAGCAGAGAUAGCAGCGUGAGGCAGGCAGCAAGUCAAGUGGCAACUCUUACUUUGAAAAAACAGUCAAAGGGAAGACAAUCAAAGGGAAGGUAUUUUGGACUGGGUGGGGAUCGAUAGACAAUGUCUCCUAUGCAGAGAGGUACUUACCUCAGCCAUAAUGUUUUGCUCUCACUGUCCUCUCCUUUCAGUCCUCAGAUAUUUAUAGAUCUUUUUCAGUUUCGUUUUCACUUUAUAGCCUUAAAAAACAACAACCUGUUACUAGCAAGGCAACAGUUGUCAUCAGUAUAACAUCUCCUGGCAACACUUGCUAGGAUAGUUUUCAACAUGCCAAAUAGGCCUAGAGCCCCCACCCCAUCUCCCCAGUAUUCCAACAUUUUAAAGGUCAUUCCUGGUUCCUUUCACUUCUAGAAGUGUAAGGAAAAGACUUCUACCCAAUUGCACAACAAAAAGUAAAAUAACCAAAUCACUUUUUCCCUGUCCUCCCAGCCUGCUAGGCUCCUUGUAUUUAUGUUCUGGCUGUUCUGCAAUGGUUUCCUGCCCUACAAGACCCAUUCACCACAAUCUCUGUCUGAGGCAGGGGUAGCUAACAUGCUUCUCUGCACAUGUUGUUGGACUCCAAACUCCCAUCAGCGUUAGUCACCAUGCCUAGUCAUGUCUGCAGGGUCACAGGUUCACCACCCCUCAAGCAGGUGAUGCUUUUCCUUGGCAUGGGCGUACAGUUGAUUGGGAAGACUUCCCCUUCACAACUGCUGCAUCCUAGAAGCUGCAGCUAUCUCUGUCUUCCAGACAGUUUCUUUCUGAUCCUUGUACCUGCUUUGACGACGAGUGUGUUUGUUUGUUUGUUUGUCUGCCUGCCUGCCUGCCUGUCUCUCUCUCUGUGUGUGUGUGUUUGUGUGUGUCCCAAUUCCCCAAGCAUUGAGGAGUUCAGGGGCUCAGAAUGCCCUCAGGUUCUGCUUCCAUUGCAAUGAAGUCACUGGAGACUUAUUGGCAUUUUGUGAUAUAGGACUUGCAUAAUUACAUGGGUUGACUGUAGGUAAAGAUUCACAGCAUUAAACACCCUAUAAAUCUUCCGAAGAGCUCCCAGGAAUCUCUUGGAUCCUCAGCCUGAUCUUGUUUCCAGAAGUUUAAGAAGUAUGGAGAAGGACUUUACCCCCACCUGAAUAAAUGGCCCUUCCCAUUUCCCACCCACAAAUGGGGCCAUCAUGUUAUUUUCAAAGUGAAGAAACGCCACGUUCAGAUGUCUUGGAGAACAACUAUGUGGCUGAUGUUUGUGGCUCUCUAAUUGUGCCAAAAUAGCAGCCCACCUGCUGCACGUAAAAUUCCGUUAGACUCUAAUGCUAAGCAAAUCCAUGUGGAAAGAAGCUUCCUCAGGGUCACUGCGAUCCACUUUCAAAGAAGUGUGUUUGUUAUUAAGCAACCAACAAUUCAUUUCAAAAUUACAAAAGUAAUUUCAAAAUUACAAAAGUACUGAACCAGAUAAGGCCUAAUUAAUAGCUCACUACCAGCAUUUUGCUCUACCUUUUUAAAUGUAGCUCUGGAGCCAAGUAAUUAAUUUGAGCUCAGUUGCAUUAACACCAUUACCAUAUUUCCGAAGCUGUAAAUGGGUGGACCGGUAUGUGAAACUCUUUCUUCAGUUUCAAUGGCUCCUUUGCUCCUUCAAUUUUAGAAAUCCCAUUUGUGUGUGUGUUUUAAGUAUUCAACAUGCAUCUGUUUUUAGCUAAUGGGACGUCUUUAUUUCAUCAACAACAUUCCCAAGUACAGUCGUACCUCGGAAGUCGAACAGAAUCCGUUCCAGAAGUCCAUUAGACUUCCAAAACGUUCGACUUCCAUAGCACGGCUUCUGAUUGGCUGAGGGAAACUCCUGCAGCCAAUCAGAAGCCAUGAGAGUCUUGUCAGACAUUCAGCUUCCAAACGAACAUUCUAAAACCGGAACACUCACUUCUGGGUUUUGACUGUUCGGGAGCCGGAACGUUUGACUCCCAAGGCAUUCAGGAGCCGAGGUACGACUGUAUUUGCAAAGUCCAAACACCAGGAGCCAAAGGGCUAUGCUUAACCUACCAUGAAUGCAUGAAGAUUCCCAGCCUGCCCACCCCCUUUGAAAAGCCACCCUUGAAGACCAGGGCACAUUCUCUUUCAAUAUUUUUUAAUAAUGAUGUUUCUUGGAUAUAUUUUUUUCCUUCUCCUUUAAUUUUUAAUUAUGGUAUUGUUGUUCAUGAGUUUCUUUUAACUAGAUUUUUUUUAUUCAUGGCAGAGCAGAGAGAGAAAGAAAGAAAGAAAGAAAGAAAGAAAGAAAGAAAGAAAGAAAGAGCGAGCUUCUGUCACUUUUGGUCUCAGAUGGGAGAUGGGAACCAAAACCAGGAAACAAAAACAUAUUGAGAAAAUGGGAAGUUGAGGUGAAGGAAGAAGGAUUGAGGGCUGAGAUUUCAGCUAAACACACAAGUAAAGAAGACUCUUUCCCCUCCUCCAUUGAAGGGGGCUAUGAAAACCCAAAUGCCAAUGAAUUCACAAGCUACACUGUUGUGGGAUUCUUUAUAUAGACACGUAUUGAUUUUUAACAACCGAGGCCUGCAGCGAAACGUUGUACAUGUCAAGGGUGGCCUGAAACAAGAUGGCGGCAUCCAUUCCAAGUACAGAAGUUGACCAGACUGGCAACUGAACCUUACUUCAAUGUUGAUCAGUGUCCUCUACCACAUCUAGAGGUAGCAGGGAGAAAUUUGAUUCAAUUCACAUUCAA
rnacentral:lncRNA from 1 species